GUGCUUGCUUUAGCAGCACAUGUACUAAAAUUGGAUCAAUACAGAGAUGAUUAGCAUGGUCCCUGUGCAAGGAUGACAUGCAAACAUGUGAAGCAUUCCAUAGUUUU
ensembl:snRNA U6 U6 spliceosomal RNA